rnacentral:rRNA from 1 species
ACGUAGGUGGCAAGCGUUGUCCGGAUUUACUGGGUGUAAAGGGCGCGUAGGCGGGACUGCAAGUCAGAUGUGAAAUCUCCGGGCUUAACCCGGAGCGUGCAUUUGAAACUGCGGUUCUUGAGUGAUGGAGAGGCAGGCGGAAUUCCUAGUGUAGCGGUGAAAUGCGUAGAUAUUAGGAGGAACACCAGUGGCGAAGGCGGCCUGCUGGACAUUAACUGACGCUGAGGCGCGAAAGCGUGGGGAGCAAACAG